CUCGGGUAACUUUGGUGAGUUCUGGUUUCUAAGCUUCAACAAAACUUUAGAUCAUCUCGGGUUUCGGUUCAUGUUGUUUCAGUCUCAGGUUACAAAGAAACAAGAGGUUAGGCUUUGUUUCGGGUUUCGCGGUACAAUCGGGUCCUGAUCAACUCAGCUCAUGUUCAGGUCAAACCCGGUUGACUCGGUUAACCCCCGAGUCAACUCGGCUCAACACCGGAUCGACUCAGUCAACGUGGUCAAUGUUUCUACGCGAGAUUGGAAUGUCAUAGAAUGCUCGCUAGCUAAUUCACGUUCAUGGAAUGACAUUACGGAAUCACACUAAGCUAGCUUUGCACGGGAAUGUCAAGGUUGCAUUUUCAAAAACUAUGGAACGGUUGGAAUAGGAGAACCCAUGGGAAU